UUCAAUACAAUAUUAGCUCCGA
rnacentral:misc_RNA from 1 species